UACGAAGGGUGCAAACGUUGCUCGGAAUUAUUGGGCGUAAAGCGCACGUAGGCGGCUUUGCAAGUCCCAUGUGAAAUCCCACGGCUCAACCGUGGAAGUGCAUGGGAAACUGCAGAGCUUGAGUACUUAAGAGGAUCGUGGAAUUCCCGGUGUAGAGGUGAAAUUCGUAGAUAUCGGGAGGAACACCAGUGGCGAAGGCGGCGAUCUGGGAAGAUACUGACGCUGAGGUGCGAAAGCCAGGGGAGCAAACGGG
rnacentral:rRNA from 1 species